UACUGCGAUGGCUCUUGGUUGACCAAUCUCCUUCCACUAUUCCUGACAGCUAACCAAUCACAGUAGGCUUAACAUGCUCUGUUGGCUUUACAUUUACGGGGCUGCUUCAGGAAUGUAAACUAUUCAACACAGGCAGACAUGGACUUAACAGUUGAUAAACUGGAACAAAUGUUCCAGAGUGCGGAGGUGACCUUAGACUGCAUCUUCAGGCGCAUGAGAUGGGAGAUGCAGCAGGAGUCAGAGGAGGACGGCGCUUUCCCGCUGGACCCCCUGCUGCCCUUCGAGGAGUUAGAGUAUUUCCAGAAGCGUCUGACGGCGCUGCUCACGGAGACCCGAGAGAUCCGGGCGCAGAAGCAGCGGACGAUGGCGUCCAUCGAGGAGAAGCUGAGCAGGACCGCUCAACUGGCCAGAGAGCUCCAGAGCAAGGCGGCAGUGACCGGUGUCGCCGCCCUGCUGCCCACACCUGAGGAGGACGUGGGAGGGGAUGGCAGUGAGCAGGUUGCCCCAGCUACUGCCGGUCCUUCAUGCAGACCAGAGGCUGGACUUGCCCCCGCUCAGAACCAGAAGCAGACCUCUGCCCAGUCUAGGACCCGCCCUGCUGACACUGGAGCCCAGGCCAAAGGAGGAGGAGCGCCCCCUAGAGCACGGGGCAGAAGAGCAUCGAGCCCUCCCCGCCAAACUGCACGUGGUCCUCUGCGGGUGCGCAGGCCGCCCCUAUGAAUGUCUCUCAGCCCCCCCCUAUCCUUCAGCCCCCGCAGCAGCAUUCCCUCCAGCCUCCCUGCCCUACUCACACUGCCAUCUGGUGGCCAAAGUGGGGAAAAUCCCCUCCAGCAUUCCUGCCUUAUACACACUGCCUUCUGGUGGCCAAAGUGGGGAAAAUCCCCUCCAGCAUUCCUGCCUUUUACACUGCCAUCUGGUGGCCAAAGUGGGGAAAAUCCCCUCCAGCAUUCCUGCCUUAUACACACUGCCAUCUGGUGGCCAAAGUGAGUAAUGCGUGCUGGUGAGUGCAUCUCGCUAUGGUGCCCCUGUACGAGUGGACAAAAUGUCUGGGGUCUCAUUGCUGGAAUCACGGGACAAUUUGGGCUUCAUGUGUCAAACAACGGGCUUGAGUAAAGACCUGGGUUGGAGAACUUUGGGCAGGGAAAAUGGCUUAUUUUGUUAUAUAUUUUUUCAUAGUAAAUAAAAUUCUAAUAAAACUCUGUUCUGUUCGGUGC
rnacentral:lncRNA from 1 species